AGCCUUGGCACGCCUUGGUGUGCGUCUCUAGAUUUGCAUUCUAGCGUGAAUCACUACAAGAC
rnacentral:tRNA from 1 species